rnacentral:rRNA from 1 species
GACGAACGCUGGCGGCGUGCCUAAUACAUGCAAGUAGAACGCUGAAGGAGGAGCUUGCUUCUCUGGAUGAGUUGCGAACGGGUGAGUAACGCGUAGGUAACCUGCCUGGUAGCGGGGGAUAACUAUUGGAAACGAUAGCUAAUACCGCAUAAGAGUAGAUGUUGCAUGACAUUUACUUAAAAGGUGCAAUUGCAUCACUACCAGAUGGACCUGCGUUGUAUUAGCUAGUUGGUGAGGUAACGGCUCACCAAGGCAACGAUACAUAGCCGACCUGAGAGGGUGAUCGGCCACACUGGGACUGAGACACGGCCCAGACUCCUACGGGAGGCGGCAGUAGGGAAUCUUCGGCAAUGGACGGAAGUCUGACCGAGCAACGCCGCGUGAGUGAAGAAGGUUUUCGGAUCGUAAAGCUCUGUUGUAAGAGAAGAACGAGUGUGAGAGUGGAAAGUUCACACUGUGACGGUAUCUUACCAGAAAGGGACGGCUAACUACGUG